ACCAGGACCUGGCUUUUGCAGUUUGAAGAGCUGAGCUGGAAAAAAAAAAAAAAAAAAAACCUUGGCCAUGAAGACUGUCACUCAAAGUCUCCUUCAAUGACUGGGCAUAAAACCCCAGGAGAAAUAGCUAAACUGGCUCCUGUUAUAAACAGCCCUGGGCUUCCAUUUCCCUCCCUUGAUGGCUGUCGGGGCUCUGCUGACAUGGUGUGGACCUGAGUGUGUGCAGAUGGAAAAAUCGGCGUCGCACUGGGCAGAGAAGCUGGUGUUACUGGAGGACGGCUAGUCUCUGGUAGGCCAAGUUACUGGUGAAGCAUCCUCACAGCUGCUGUCUGUGAACAUGGGGAUCCACAUCCAUUCUGGAAGAGCUGCCUUUGGACACUUUCACUCAUAAUUCCCUGGAUGGCAAGGAAAGUCAUUUGAAAAAG